rnacentral:rRNA from 1 species
CGGACGGGUGAGUAACACGUGGAUAACCUACCUAUAAGACUGGGAUAACUUCGGGAAACCGGAGCUAAUACCGGAUAAUAUAUUGAACCGCAUGGUUCAAUAGUGAAAGACGAUUUUGCUGUCACUUAUAGAUGGAUCCGCGCCGCAUUAGCUAGUUGGUAAGGUAACGGCUUACCAAGGCAACGAUGCGUAGCCGACCUGAGAGGGUGAUCGGCCACACUGGAACUGAGACACGGUCCAGACUCCUACGGGAGGCAGCAGGA